GCCAUCUCCCACUCCCUCUGACUCCCCUCUCCCCUCAGGCCCCGCACAUCCUCCUGUCGCUGGACUGGUUCCACUACGUGGCGGCGCUCACGGCCGGCCUCCUCCUCGUCGUCGUCCUCGUCGCCCUCCUGCACAAGAUUGGUUUCUUCAAGAGGACGCGCGUCCUGCCCCUGGCUUCGGGAGACGACGCAGCCGAGCGGGAGGCAGUCCUGGGCGGCCCUUCGCAGGAGUGAGGCACAGCGCCCAUGACCUCGGGCGCCGGCGGGCAAUGCGGGCAGCGGCUCCCGAGCGGGACCGGCGAGGACGGGGCUGCCGCGGCGCAGCGACCAGAGAGCAAGGGCGGCCCGGGGGUGGCGGUGGAAGGGGGGAUAGCGGGGAGAAGGGCGGGGGGCUGCUGGUCAAAGGUUGAGUGCCUGCCUCGGCCGCUUCGCCGGCGGUGGCCGUCCAGAACCGUCAGUCAGCGAAGGAGCAUCACACACCUGCCGUCUUCUUCACCGCAGCCAAAUUAUGGGUAAAGAACGUCAGCAAAGUCAGCCUCUCGGCCGCGGGCGGAGCAGCGCCAGGUGGUUGCGGCCCCUCGACCUCGGAGCCGCAGCCACCAGGCGCUGUUCCCCCCGCGGCCGAGAGGCUGACUGCUGACUGCCGGGCUCUGGAUGGCCACCGCUUGGCGAGGCGUCCGAGGCAGGUUCCAGCUGGCUCUUAGCUAUUAAGGUAGAGUUAGCAGCGUCCGAUUCUGUUGACUGAUUAAUCUAGAUUUAAGUUAACCUUUUGUAGAAAGUAGACCGAUAUGUGUAAUUAUUACAGGAGUGUGAAAAGGGCCUAAUCAUUGAGUGGUUGCCUGACACAACCACCGCUAUGGUGAUAGAAUAAAGACCUGAGUCUGCAGCGAUUCGAUCUUUAUAAUAAAAUACGUAACUUUAUAAUAAAAUACGAACUGAUAACACAACUUGAUUAUUAAUCUUAAUUCUAUAACGUGCUCGUAUUAUUCUAAAAUACGGUUCAUACAUUUUAUUCAUUCAAGUUAUUUUAUAGUCGUUUUAUCUUUAGCCACUUCUUAAUGUACCGUUUUAAAAACAUUUUCAUUGAAAGAGAGCCACCCUCAAUUUACGUUCUCGCUCAGGGGUCACGAGGGAAGGUUGGAAGUAUCUGGAAGGAGGUAUUGUGGUCACGCUGGUAGGGAGGCUGCUUGUCACGAGAACCCUGGCGUGGGGUCGGGCUCCCUCAUGGCACAGCCCGGGCGAGGCUAAGCUUCGCAUAUCGGACUUAUCCUGGCAUGGGCCUCGGGACAAAAGAUAAGUGGUCUUAUUUAGUGAGGCUUUGGGAGACAUUGCUUUUAAGCAUUUUAUGUUCAUGUUUUAUUUUACUUGUGGUAUGUGUGUUUUACUCAUGUUCGUUUGUGUUUGUCUUCUUGAUUUAAGUUAUAUUUGUGCGUUUUAGUUGUAUUUUCUCGUUUUGUUUUAAUAAAUAUUUUAAAGGUUUGAUAUA